AAUAGAUACCCAGGUAGUCCACGCCGUAAACGAUGAGUGCUAAGUGUUAGAGGGUUUCCGCCCUUUAGUGCUGCAGCUAACGCACUAAGCACUCCGCCUGGGGAGUACGGCCGCAAGGCUGAAACUCAAAGGAAUUGACGGGGGCCCGCACAAGCGGUGGAGCAUGUGGUUUAAUUCGAAGCAACGCGAAGAACCUUACCAGGUCUUGACAUCCUCUGCCAACCCUAGAGAUAGGGCGUUCCCCUUCGGGGGACAGAGUGACAGGUGGUGCAUGGUUGUCGUCAGCUCGUGUCGUGAGAUGUUGGGUUAAGUCCCGCAACGAGCGCAACCCUUGAUCUUAGUUGCCAGCAUUCAGUUGGGCACUCUAAGGUGACUGCCGGUGACAAACCGGAGGAAGGUGGGGAUGACGUCAAAUCAUCAUGCCCCUUAUGACCUGGGCUACACACGUGCUACAAUGGAUGGUACAAAGAGCUGCGAACCCGCGAGGGUAAGCCAAUCUCAUAAAGCCAUUCUCAGUUCGGAUUGU
rnacentral:rRNA from 1 species